UACGUAGGUGGCGAGCGUUAUCCGGAAUGAUUGGGCGUAAAGGGUGCGUAGGUGGCAAAUCAAGUCUGGAGUAAAAGGUAUGGGCUCAACCCGUACUUGCUCUGGAAACUGAUCAGCUAGAGAACAGAAGAGGACGGCGGAACUCCAUGUGUAGCGGUAAAAUGCGUAGAUAUAUGGAAGAACACCGGUGGCGAAGGCAGCCGUCUGGUCUGGAUUCUGACACUGAAGCACGAAAGCGUGGGGAGCAAAUAGG
rnacentral:rRNA from 1 species